rnacentral:tRNA from 1 species
UUAAAAUCCUUUAAAAUCCUUCCUACCGC